AAAAGGCUGCUCCGGAACUGCCCUACUUUAGACUUUUUCAUGGUUAUCAAUCUGUACAAAGAAUCACCAAACUGAUAAAGCAGGAACCAGAGGGCAAAUCACGCUGCCAAGACAACUGUGUAAUUCGCUCGAAAAAGAAACGGAGGCACCCCUUAUGAAAGUAAUAUUUGAAGACAAUAAAACUGACAGUGGAAUUUAAGAUGGCUAGACCAGAGCAGAGACCAGAAGCUAAGGGGCCCCAUGCUGUGUAAAUACUGGCACACAGAUGGAGUCUCGCUCUGUCACCCAGGCUGGAGUAUAGUGGUGUGAUCUUGGCUCACUGCAACCUCUGCCUCCCAGGUUCAAGCGAUUCUCCUGCCUCAGCCUCUCGAGUAGCUGGAAUUACAGGUCUGGCAGAAGGAACAGUAUCAACUGACUGAGUAGGUCUCAUUGGCAGUUGUGAUUCAGAGACCUAGAAAGCUGAACCCACGGCUGGCAAGAAGAGGAUGGUUUGUGGGACCUGGGCUGAUGUCUGAUGAAAUUUUAAGCCCCAGCUAUAGCUACUACAAAGAAAAGUGGCU
rnacentral:lncRNA from 10 species